rnacentral:rRNA from 1 species
UACGUAGGGUGCGAGCGUUAAUCGGAAUUACUGGGCGUAAAGCGUGCGCAGGCGGUUUUGUAAGUCUGACGUGAAAUCCCCGGGCUCAACCUGGGAAUUGCGUUGGAGACUGCAAGGCUGGAGUCUGGCAGAGGGGGGUAGAAUUCCACGUGUAGCAGUGAAAUGCGUAGAGAUGUAGAGGAACACCGAUGGCGAAGGCAGCCCCCUGGGUCAAGACUGACGCUCAUGCACGAAAGCGUGGGGAGCAAACAGG